CCUACGGGUGGCAGCAGUCGAGAAUCAUUCACAAUGGGGGAAACCCUGAUGGUGCGACGCCGCGUGAGUGAAGAAGUAAUUCGUUAUGUAAAGCUCUAUCAGCAGGGAAGAAAAUGACGGUACCUGAGUAAGAAGCCCCGGCUAACUACGUGCCAGCAGCCGCGGUAAUACGUAGGGGGCAAGCGUUAUCCGGAUUUACUGGGUGUAAAGGGAGCGUAGACGGCAGUGCAAGUCUGGAGUGAAAGGCGGGGGCUCAACCGCGGGACGGCUCUGGAAACUGUACGGCUGGAGUGCAGGAGAGGGAAGUGGAAUUCCGAGUGUAGCGGUGAAAUGCGCAGAUAUUAGGAGGAACACCAGUGGCGAAGGCGGCUUACUGGACUGUAACUGACGUUGAGGCUCGAAAGCGUGGGGAGCAAACAGGAUUAGAUACCCGAGUAGUC
rnacentral:rRNA from 1 species